GCAUUGGUGGUUCAGUGGUAGAAUUCUCACCUCCCAUGCGGGAGAGCUGGGUUCAAUUCCCAGCCAAUACA